rnacentral:rRNA from 1 species
CCUUCGGGUGGCAGCAGUGGGGAAUAUUGCACAAUGGGGGAAACCCUGAUGCAGCAACGCCGCGUGAAGGAAGACGGUUUUCGGAUUGUAAACUUCUGUUCUUAGUGAAGAAUAAUGACGGUAGCUAAGGAGCAAGCCACGGCUAACUACGUGCCAGCAGCCGCGGUAAUACGUAGGUGGCAAGCGUUGUCCGGAAUUACUGGGUGUAAAGGGAGCGCAGGCGUGAAGCCAAGUCAGCUGUGAAAUGCCCCCGCUCAACGGGGUGAAGUGCCAUUGAUACUGCCUUGCUGGAAUGCGGAUGCCGUGGGAGGAAUGUGUGGUGUAGCGGUGAAAUGCAUAGAUAUCACACAGAACACCGAUUGCGAAGGCAUCUCACGAAUCCGCGAUUGACGCUGAUGCACGAAAGCGUGGGUAUCAAACAGGAUUAGAUACCCCAGUAGUC